AGAGUGAACGCUGGCGGCAGGCCUAAUACAUGCAAGUCGAACGGCAGCACGGCAGAGCUUGCUCUGUGGGUGGCGAGUGGCGGACGGGUGAGGAGUACAUGGGAAUCUGCCCAGUCGUGGGGGAUAACGUAGGGAAACUUACGCUAAUACCGCAUGCGCCCGUUCGGGGGAAAGCCGGGGACCUUCGGGCCUGGCGCGA
rnacentral:rRNA from 1 species